rnacentral:tRNA from 1 species
GUGGUGGUAGCAUAGUGGCUAAGGAGCUGGGCUAGCACCUGAAAGUUAUGGGUUCAAAUCCCAGCUUCCACU